GGCACGGUGGCGCAGUGGUUAGCAGUGUUGCUUCACAAUAAGAAGGUUCCGGGUUCAAAUCCCGGCCAGCCA